AACACCUCUUAUUUUCAGCUACAAUCUUAAUCAUGUGUCUCGGGUUUGUGUAUUCGCGGUCUGUGCCGCUUUUCCUGGUAGAGGAAAACUCCACAAGACAGGGGAGCCCUGUCAGCUUGGAUCAGAGGUGUUGCCAGGAGCAGAAGGAUAUCGUGCGUAACAACGUCUGGCGCAUAUGAUCCCGUGCUUCGGAGUGGAGUGAUUAGAAAAUAAUUUUAAAAGCUUAUUCUAAGGAGAUCUGUUAAAAGUGAUGACCGAACACUGAGCAUACCAUCCCUUCCCCACACUCCAUUCUGCAUGGAUACUCCACCGGGCUGACCCCGUAGCGGUGUACCAAGAGCCCUCAAGGAGCCACCAGAAAGCCCAGGACUGGGCGCAGCUCUGUGAGUGACCGGCUGACCUGGAGGAAGGCAGUUUGUUUAUCUGGACGUGGGUUCCUCUGCUUGACCUCUGGUGACUGAAGGGACAAGGAGUCACUGAGGGGAGACCACGGGGCAGGGGGCUUACUCACCCUCACCAGGCACCACCCUGUCUGCUUAGCCUGUAUCUGCUUGGCCUGCAGACCUACCCUCCACC